CCUACAGUUGCUUCGGCGGACUCGCCCCGGCGUCCGGACGGCCUAGCGCCGCCCGCGGCCCGGACCCAGGCGGCCGCCGGAGACCACCAAACUCUUUGUAUUAUCAGUGUAUUCUGAAUCCGCCGCAAGGCAACACAAAUGAAUCAAAACUUUCAACAACGGAUCUCUUGGUUCUGGCAUCGAUGAAGAACGCAGCGAAAUGCGAUAAGUAAUGUGAAUUGCAGAAUUCAGUGAAUCAUCGAAUCUUUGAACGCACAUUGCGCCCGCCAGCAUUCUGGCGGGCAUGCCUGUUCGAGCGUCAUUUCAACCCUCGACCUCCCCUUGGGGAAGUCGGCGUUGGGGACCGGCAGCAUACCGCCGGCCCCGAAAUGGAGUGGCGGCCCGUCCGCGGCGACCUCUGCGUAGUAAUCCAACCUCGCACCGGAACCCCGACGUGGCCACGCCGUAAAACCCCCAACUUUCUGAACGUUGACCUCGGAUCAGGUAGGAAUACCCGCUGAACUUAAGCAUAUCA
rnacentral:rRNA from 1 species